UUUGUUUAUGGAUACUCUCACAGAAUACUACUAUAUCUCAGCUUUCAACCUUUUCUCUUUAUUAUGUUGCCUUGUUAUGCAUGGUAUUCUGUCAUGUAGCUUGCUAACAACUAAAUUCUAUAUGCCUGAAUAUACUUUUUGUUACGAAUGGAAGAGGGAAGAGCAGUAGAGAACUGAACUGUGUGUGUGUGUAUUGAUAGAGGCCCAAAAGGGCAACAUAUAUAGUACAAGAGGAGACCCCCAAACCCUAGAUACUAGGAUAUUACCAUUAUACCCUUAACACCCCCUCUCAAAUGCAACGUGAAUGCAAUGACGUUGCAUUUGGAGAGUUGAUACUAAGCACUAGACUAACAAAAAAGAAGAUACAUCCAAAGUCCCAAAUCAAAGAUGUCAUCAAAGCGUGCAACUCUUGACAUGUCGAUGUAGAUGAUCUCCUCCACAAGAGGGUAUUGCCUUCACAACCGUACUUCAGCAAAUAACCCGAGUCUUCACAAACCACCAAAGAGAGGAAUGAGAGAUCACUGCUGCAAGAUGGCAAGCAGGGAGAUGACAAGGUGAUGACGACAAAUAGACAGCCAUUGAUCAAGAUGUGGAGCAAAACGGCUCCGAAAGGGACCAAGAGGGCAAAGGUCGCAUCAACAACGAUGAUGUAAUUAGCUAAAUCGACGGGACUUAGCUAACCGAAAUAAAAAUAAGAUAUGAGCUGAAUGCUGAUUUGACAAGGAAAUGGUAGACACGCACGGCAUUGACGAACUGGAGAUGUGUAAUUGGACUUGGAUUGAUAGUGACUGGGAUGCUAGCAGAAGCAUGCAGCUAGGAUAUGAAAUGGCAAAAUAAUUUAAGCAGCAAGCAAAGCUACUAGCAGAUGAUAUGGAACGGAUGGGAAAAAAAUGACACAAUAUAGUAGAUACUAGCAGGCAGCAGCAAGCAACGAGCAAAAUAGAGCAACAAUGGACUGAUGAUGGAUGCAAACAGCAACGUGGACAGAGCAGCAGCUGAUGGAUAGCAGAGCAGCACAAAAGGCAGUAACAAUAUGAAGUAGAACUGCAGCAUGAAUGAUAAUCCCGCAGAACAGAGCAGCAGCACAGAACAGAGGACUGAGGCACUUGGCAAAACAGAGCACCCACAAAACAGAGCACUUGGCCGCGCGGGCGCUGUGAUGGGCAGACGGAGGGACGGGCAGACGGCGGCAGCGACGGGCCGCGCCGUCUGUGAGGACGAGCCGUCCGGGCGGUGAGGAAGGGAGCCGCGACGGGGCCUGCGGGUGGAGGCGGCAUGAAUCGGCCGGAUCCGCGACGGCCGGAUGACGGUGACGGGCGGAGCGGACGGCAGCCGCGCGACAGGCGCGGCGGACGGGCUCCGCACGAUGGGCGUGGAUGAGGGCCCGCAGCGACGGGCGGACGGUCACGCUGAUGGAGGACCGCGGCCACGCAAGGACCAGCCGAUGGGGACGGGCGGUGAAGAGGAGGACGAGCCGGUGGCGACGGACGCGGACGGGCUGUGGCGGGCCGCUCCCGCCGCAGAUCUGGCGCGAUCGAGGAUGAGGACGGCCGCGAUGGGCGGCGGGGCGGCCGGGUCCGCGACGGCGGACGCGAUGGCGGGCAGAGGAGAGCCGCAACGGCGAGCAGACAGGCGGUGGCGCACGACAGCGCGCGACGACGGCGGAGGACGACCUCAACGGGCGGAUCUGCGCGAAGAUGAAGGCGACGACGGGUACGCUGCUCUCUGCUGCUGCUGGGACUCAACUGGGAAGGAAAAUGGGUUUGGGGCUUGAUGGAGAUGCUGCCCCCAGGAGCAAGAUCGAUGCUCCCAGGGGCAGCGCAGCGUUGAAUCGAGGGUGGUGGGCUGGAUCUAGAACAACCGUAGCUCUGAUACCAUGUUACGAAUGGAAGAGGGAAGAGCAGUAGAGAACUGAACUGUGUGUGUAUUGAUAGAGGCCCAAAAGGGCAACAUAUAUGGUACAAGAGGAGACCCCCAAACCCUAGAUACUAGGAUAUUACCAUUAUACCCUUAACACUUUUCAUGUCCUUAAGUUUACAGAUAAUUGCCAUGCGCAACUGUGUUUGAUAUUUUGUCUGUGCAGUUACUGUCCUGCUAAAUCCUUUUCCAAAUAA